rnacentral:rRNA from 1 species
AACGAACGCUGGCGGCAGGCCUAACACAUGCAAGUCGAGCGAAGCCUUCGGGCUUAGCGGCGGACGGGUGAGUAACGCGUGGGAACGUGCCCUUUGCUACGGAAUAGCCCCGGGAAACUGGGAGUAAUACCGUAUGUGCCCUUCGGGGGAAAGAUUUAUCGGCAAAGGAUCGGCCCGCGUUGGAUUAGGUAGUUGGUGGGGUAAUGGCCUACCAAGCCGACGAUCCAUAGCUGGUUUGAGAGGAUGAUCAGCCACACUGGGACUGAGACACGGCCCAGACUCCUACGGGAGGCAGCAGUGGGGAAUCUUAGACAAUGGGCGGAAGCCUGAUCUAGCCAUGCCGCGUGAUCGAUGAAGGCCUUAGGGUUGUAAAGAUCUUUCAGGUGGGAAGAUAAUGACUGUACCACCAGAAGAAGCCCCGGCUAACUCCGUGCCAGCCGCCGCGGUAAAAC